AUUGAACGCUGGCGGCAGGCCUAACACAUGCAAGUCGAACGAGUGGGAGACGGGUGAGAAAUGUCUGGGAAACCGCCAGAGGGAGGGGGAUAACUACUGGACACGGUAGCUAAUACCGCAUACCAUCAGAUAUCCCCAGAUGGGAUUAGCUAGUAGGUGGGGUAAAGGCUCACCUAGGCGACGAUCCCUAGCUGGUCUGAGAGGAUGACCAGCCACACUGGAACUGAGACACGGCCCAGACUCCUACGGGAGGCAGCAGUGGGGAAUAUUGCACAAUGGGCGCAAGCCUGAUGCAGCCAUGCCGCGUGUGUGAAGAAGGCCUUCGGGUUGUAAAGUACUUUCAGCGGGGAGGCGUUACCGGCAGAAGAAGCACCGGCUAACUCCGUGCCAGCAGCCGCGGUAAUUC
rnacentral:rRNA from 1 species